rnacentral:rRNA from 1 species
GAUGAACGCUGGCGGCGUGCCUAAUACAUGCAAGUCGAGCGAACAGACGAGGAGCUUGCUCCUCUGACGUUAGCGGCGGACGGGUGAGUAACACGUGGAUAACCUACCUAUAAGACUGGGAUAACUUCGGGAAACCGGAGCUAAUACCGGAUAAUAUAUUGAACCGCAUGGUUCAAUAGUGAAAGACGGUUUUGCUGUCACUUAUAGACGGAUCCGCGCCGCAUUAGCUAGUUGGUAAGGUAACGGCUUACCAAGGCAACGAUGCGUAGCCGACCUGAGAGGGUGAUCGGCCACACUGGAACUGAGACACGGUCCAGACUCCUACGGGAGGCAGCAGUAGGGAAUCUUCCGCAAUGGGCGAAAGCCUGACGGAGCAACGCCGCGUGAGUGAUGAAGGUCUUCGGAUCGUAAAACUCUGUUAUUAGGGAAGAACAAAUGUGUAAGUAACUAUGCACGUCUUGACGGUACCUAAUCAGAAAGCCACGGCUAACUACGUGCCAGCAGCCGCGGUAAUACGUAGGUGGCAAGCGUUAUCCGGAAUUAUUGGGCGUAAAGCGCGCGUAGGCGGUUUUUUAAGUCUGAUGUGAAAGCCCACGGCUCAACCGUGGAGGGUCAUUGGAAACUGGAAAACUUGAGUGCAGAAGAGGAAAGUGGAAUUCCAUGUG